UUCCGGUUGAUCCUGCCGGACCUGACUGCUAUCGGAUUGAUACUAAGCCAUGCGAGUCAUUGUAGCAAUACAAGGCAGACGGCUCAGUAACGCGUAGUCAACCUACCCUAUGGACGGGAAUAACCUCGGGAAACUGAGUAUAAUGCCCGAUAGAACACUAUACCUGGAAUGGUUUGUGUUUCAAAUGAUUUAUUGCCAUAGGAUGGGAUUGCGGCCUAUCAGUUUGUUGGUGAGGUAAUGGCCCACCAAGACUAUUACAGGUACGGGCUCUGAGAGGAGUGGCCCGGAGAUGGGUACUGAGACGCGGACCCAGGCCCUAUGGGGCGCGGCAGGCGAGAAAACUUUGCAAUGUGCGAAAGCACGACAAGGUUAAUCCGAGUGGUUUCUGCUAAAGGAACCUUUUGACAGUCCUAGAAACACUGUUGAAUAAGGGGUGGGCAAGUUCUGGUGUCAGCCGCCGCGGUAAAACCAGCACCUCAAGUGGUCAGGAUGAUUAUUGGGCCUAAAGCAUCCGUAGCCGGCUCAGUAAGUUUUCGGUUAAAUCUGUACGCUCAACGUACAGGCUGCCGGGAAUACUGCAGAGCUAGGGAGUGGGAGAGGUAGACGGUACUCGGGGAGAAGUGGUAAAAUGCUUGAUCUUUCGA
rnacentral:rRNA from 1 species